rnacentral:lncRNA from 1 species
GAAGUAACCAGCCCUUGUGCCCUGUCUUCCCCACCCUAAUGGCAAGGCGUCUUCAGCCAAAGCUGAAGCACAGAGCCUUCUUCCCCUUGAUUCUGUUUAUAAAUAAAGUUCCCCACCCUCGUCCCCUUCAGCAACCUGCUCUCCCUCUGAACCUUGUAAAUCCCCUUCCCGACCUCACGACCUCACGGGGCUUACAGGGACAAGGCAACUAGCUGACUGCUUAUUUAUUGAAAAUAAAUGACAGAAAAGUCUGGCCUUGCUUCCUUAUGUCUUGGGGCCUAUUUCGGGUACCUAUGGACAAAAACCUUAGUGUCAUACAGUCCAGAAAGCAGCUGUGUGUCCCAGGGCCUCUAUGUGAGGAGCCACUGAAUCCAACAGCUUCUAGCCAUAAGCUGGGUACGCAGAGAGUGGGACUGGCUGCUGGCCCGAGGUGAUGGGGUGGGAGAACUGGAUCCAUGAGGGAGCAUGGCAGCCUGAAAGCUUUGGUUCUGGGAGGAGGCUAGGACCCUCUUCCAGGUAUCAUCCCUGAGGGCAGGGCCAGCCACCCUGGGUGGAAGUAGUGGCCCGGGACACCACUGUCCAGGUUUGCAGCUGACGGACUCCAUUCUGAGACCUGCAGUCCACACCUCACAGUUCUGGUAGAGAAUGGGGCAGCUUCCCCAGCAGGGAGGCCUCUCGCCUGGCCCCUCACGAGUCCUUAAUGUCCUUAAUGUCCCUGAGGGGUGCCUCGUCCAGAAUGCUACGUACUUGCUCCAGAGUGUCUGCUUGGCGGAUCUGCUCCAGGCGCACCUGUGUGGUUGGG